rnacentral:tRNA from 1 species
GUAUCUGUAGCUCAGCAGGAUAGAGCAACGGCCUUCUAAGCCGUGGGUCGGGGGUUCGAAUCCCUUCAGAUACG